rnacentral:lncRNA from 1 species
CCCUCGCCUCGAGCUCAGCGGAGGCGCCGUGCUUUGAGCACCACGCGUGCGUUCCUCACGCGCAUUUGCAAUAGGAGCAGAUUGUCUCGCCUGACCAGGUUGCCAACCGCGUGCACACACAUACUAAACAAAACACAGCAGCUGCUAGCGCCUCAGCCUGCGGCCCGGCACCAGCCCCCCAUCGGCCCAAACAGCCCGCGCGCCGUGCGCCCACGGCGGCAGAGCGCCCCAAGCAGACGCCAGAGCCCGCGGACCCCAGCCCCCGCCGAGACGCAAACCCCAACCGCGGCCACACGACGCAAAAGCCUGGACGGCAGCGAAAGCACAAAACCCAUCAUCAUUCUCCGACAGUAGCGCCAGACGCAGGGCCUGUCGCCGGCAAGCUUUCCAGGGGCGACGCCGUUUAGGCGGUCUUGGUCUGCUUCUGCACGGUGAUCCAGCGGGCGAACAGGUCGUAGUCGUCGCCGGCGUAGUCCGACUCCACCAGCAUCUGCGUGUGUGUUGUGGAAUGGAGAGCGCGGGGAGGUCAGUUUGAGGCGCAAGCCGGCGCUGCCAUGCAGCAGCCCCACGGCCCUGCAGUAGCUGCGGCCGAGAAGCCUCGGCGCCAGCCCCAGCGGCCCCAACCCAAAGCCCGUAUGCUGCCACUGACAGCACAAUACAGCAGCAGUAGCAGCAACCGAACAACUCACGUUCUUGUAGAACUUCUUGCCGAUGGCCUUGAUGGCCUUGUCCUUCUGGCCGCCGGUCUUCUCGCCCUUGGCGAUCUUGGCCAGCUUCUCGCUGCGCUUGGCGGCCUUCUUGGUGGAGCGGGUGAUCUCCACGCGGCGGGCCACCUGGGUGGUGUGGCGAGGCGGGUGUGGGCGGGGGCCCGGGAUUAGAAAUACAGCCAGGUAGCUCGGGUGCCUCUAUGUCGCUCCUGUGCCUCAAGCCUCAAGGUCAAGGAAGAAGGCUGUGUGUGCGAGAAGCUGCAGCACACCAACCCAAGCGAUACCAGCCCUACGCACGCGUGCCCGCAUCCCCAUAUCGCCCGCUUCAACCACACAUCCACAGCCCCGGAACCGCAUCCGCCCACCUUGGCGUAGGGGUUGAGCUUGAGCAUGGCGCCCAGGUUGCGCAGGGGGUUCUUCUUGAGCGGCGCGUGCUUGGGGCCGGCGCUCUUGGCGGGCCGGACAGCCGACUGGAUCUCGUCGCUGUUGAUCAGGCGGGCCAGGUCGCCGUUGGCCAUGCAGGCGCGGGGCAGCUGCGUUUUCAUGGGUAGAGAGUGGGAGAGACAGAGAGCGAGGAAACUGUUAAUGGGAUGGCCAACGGUUGUUGGGUCGCUACUGACCCGGAACGAUGCGCACCGGCAUUGGAUACGCCACACUGGGUACUGCCUCUGCCGUCAUCCCAACACCCACCACCACCGGUCCCACCCAGAUCCCCGUGCCCCACCAACCCAUCCCCACUCCGCUCCCGCCUCUUCCCCACCUCACCUUGUAGCCCUUCUUCUGCUCGCUCUCGGUGGUGGCGGUGCCGAACACCUUGUCCAGCUUCUCGAAGGCCGACUUGGACCAGAUGCAGAAGCGGCCCAGGUGGCCGCCGGGGGCCAGCUGCAGCAGGUUCAGGCGGUCCACGGAGGUCACCUCCACGCCGGGCAGGUUGCGGAAGGCCUUGGAGAUGCCCUCGUCGUUGGCGAAGACAACCAGGGGGCCCUUGCGCAUCACGUAACGCCGGUUGCGCAUCUUGCCUGGGGGCGGAUGGGAGAGAGCAGGUGUUGUUAAGCGUUGGAAGGGGUGUCAGGCAUUGGUUUGCCGGGAACUGGUGCCCCGGAGGAAGCGAUGAGCGGGUGCCGAAAGUGGUGGCGCUGAGGCGCGGCGGUCAGGACCCAGGCCGUGCGCGCUCAUCGUGGCCGGCGGCGCACGCGGAAGCUGUUGUAGCCGCCGCGGAACAGGGCUGGCUGCUGAUUCAACCCAUGCAGUGCCCGGCUGGCUGGCUGGCUGCCUGCUGGUCCCACAGCUGUGGAGGUUGCUGUGGCUGGUCCCCGCAGUCUGCCUCUGCCAGCGAGGGCUGCCCCCUUGGCCCCUGCCCCCAAGCGGAAGCGCCUCUGGGCGCUCCGAGUCCCGAGUCCCGAGCCGCUGGGCAAACCCUGCAGCCGAUGCGCUGGACGCAGCCGCAGCUGCGCCACCGUUACAAUGAGCGGCGCGGCUCGGGCAGCCGCGCCAACCCCUUUUACUGCUGCUCCUGCGGCGCCGGACUCCGCAUGCGCCUGGGCCGGCUCGACUGUCGCUUGCAGCCGCAUACGGCGUCUGCUGCCAUCCGGCCGCACCAGCCGCGAUGCCGCUGCUGGUGCGGUCGCGCAGCCGGAAAUGCCGCAGCCGCACGCUGAGCGCACUCCAGCAUCCGCCCGAGUGCCCGCCCGCAGCUGCAGCCACAGCCGCUGCACGCAGCGCCCUCCGCCGCUUCGCUUACGAGAGCCCACACCGUACCCCCCAUUUGGCAGCAGAUGGGCCGGCGCGCCCGGCUGCAGACUGCAGCCCAGCUCCCGCCACAACCCCGCCGUGUGCUGCUGGCUGCUGUCGCCAGGUGCUGCUGCAAGCAUUGCCGCCGCUUUUCGUGCUCCAGCACCGCCGCUCCCUCCGCAUUUGCGCUUCUCCCACGCUUUGUUGCACGCGCCUGCUGCAGUUCCACAGCUUCCGCCGCUGCCCUUCCCCCUCCUCGCCCAAGCCCACGUUUAGCCCUUCGCCGGCCCUCCCCCCCGCCUGCAUACACAGCAACACCUACCCUUGCCGGCGCGCAGCGACUUGGAGUCCUUGCUCUUCUCCACAUCGGGCAGGGCGCCGAUCUUCUUCAGGAUCUCCAGCGCCUUCGAGGUCUUCUUCACGCCCUCCACGGCGUCGUCCAGGACCAGGGGCACCAUGGGCACCUGCGCGAAGCGACCCGCGUUGACCCGGUCAAAACGAGCGCCGAGCAUGCGGAAUGGCUGGCAGGGCGGCAGGCCGGCAAGCGAGCUAGGCUGGGGGAAGGGGACACGGG